AAACUCCACCCAGUAUGACAACGGUACGACUACCACAGUCAGCUCUCUGUUUGGUGUACCUACGAGAGAGAUUAAUGGUCACCAGGUCCAGUGUGUCAUCAGCGGUGACUCCCUGUCUAAAGAAAAAAGUCUGCCCUUCACCAUACAGGUCUACUUCUCACCCACAGAAGUGAACAUUAGAGUGAUUUCAGAGGACUCGUUUGAGUGUGUGACAGAAGCCAACCCAAAUGCAAUAUUUAACUGGAGCAGUCUUGUUCGUGUUUUUUCCAGAUCUGGACAGUCUUUGUCACAGCCUGGUGUCAAAGUAGAUGGUGCAAAGCUACAACUGCUGAGUCUGACCUCUGAUCUAAAUGGCCUCUAUCAGUGUGAAGCAUCUAACGCAUAUGGACGUAAACAUGGUCAGCUCUAUGUGCGUGUUGCAGCAGGAGCAUGUUCUGCUGCUUGGGCCUUAUUUGGUAUUUUGCUUACUCUGAAUGUGAUUGGGGUUGCAGCAUGGUGCUUCUUUAAAUCUGGAUGUUUUCAAAGGUACUCGGAACAGCAACACUUCAUACACUUAAUAUGUAGUUCUCCUGAUAUUAAACCAUAGACACAUAAUGUUCAAAUAGGUCUAAAGGUUUUUGAUCAUUUGAAAUAAACAAUCAAAUGCAAUAGAGAGAAAGACUGUCAGCUUUAAUUGUAAGUAACAGUAUGUGUGAAAUGUUAUACAUAUAUACAGGGUGGGCCAUUUAUAUGGAUACACUGUAAUAAAAUGGGAAU